AUGGUAGAUAUAAAGCGUUUUCUCGUUUAACGGUGUAAAACUAUCAAAAUCAAUUGAAUUUUGGCUAGAAAAUUCUUUAAACUAUUUAGAAUAAGAUCUAUACUCUUGAUCUUGAUUACAAAAUUCCAAUCAUCACUUUUUAGAGGAUAUUCAUUUUCAGCCGUUCAAUUUUACGCUCACUUGAUGGACAAGAGAACAAUAUCGAAAUAGUAUGAAAUUUGAUUUCUAGACACUUCAAGUGGUAUAGAUCAUGUUCAACGGUACUGAUCGUCGAUUUGGAGGCUCCAUCAUCGAAACAAAUGGGUGGCAACGGAGCCCGUUUGCUACUGAUAGUAUUCCAGCU
rnacentral:lncRNA from 1 species